rnacentral:lncRNA from 1 species
AAAGGAACCGCAGCCACAUCAGUCAAGUGCCAGAACUCAGCAAGGAAAACUGUGCUGCCUCUUUUAAAUGCCAGGCCNCAGUGGGNUGACCACAAAAACUACACAAAAAGACUAACACUGCACCUCUCCAGUGCCAGCACUAGAGGUGUGCAGAGGGUCCGGAUCCUUUCCCUGAAUGCUGAAGAUCUGCAGAACAGCAAACAUGGUGUGCCAACACUGUUGAAGGCCAACAGGUAGCCUUACCAGUGCCAGCCUUGGCCUGUCUUAAGUGCCAAAGCUCACCAACAAACCACCUGGCGCUUUUCUCCUGCUCCACGGCUCAAUAUGGAAAUUGAGCCCACCUGUCUGCGGAGAGACCAUGCCUACCUCUGGCAACGACCAUAAAUCAAUAACAAAUAGAAAGANGGCCAAUCUCUUACUAUUGGUGAUCUUCAAAAGCAGAUUAUGGACNUCUANAAAAGAAACAAGAGACAAAAGAAUUAACAGGAGUCACAAAGAAAUAUGGGACUCUAAAUCUUAGAUUCUCUUGGGUUGCUGCCCCACGUCCAGCGAUGGCAGUGAGGUCAGAAGCGUACGCACUUCUGAGGAUGCACGUGCAGGCUCGCUGGACAGCCCAGGAAAGUCUGCAGGAAGAAGGACAAUUAAAUGCGUCAGGAGCAUCUAAUACGAAGAGGAGAAAUCCAAGGAGGCAUUUCCACUGCAUCUCAGUAUCUUAGCAGCCUGGAAUUCUGGACAGAAAGAGAGAAAGAAGACAGGAAAAGGGUGACCGGUGCUUCUUUUUUCUGAAAAAGUCAGAUUAAAAAGAUCACUGCGUAUACAUUGUAUUUCUACUUUGGUUGUCUUUUAUCUUUGCAACACUCCAACAAUAUAGUUCAAUUUCAGAAUUUUUAAUGGGUCCAUCUCCUUGGCAAGUAUUUCAGAAAUUUUACAGCCCAGACAGCUCUGGGUUAGGCCUUCAGUCUUUCCCAGUCUUCUCAUUAUAUGGCGCAAGUAUUUGAGCUUCAGCUUCAGGAUUUGUCCUUCUAGUGAGCAGCNAGGGUUGGUUUCCUUCAGCAUUCAAUGAAUAUAUACCUACUGUGAGGGCUGUAAAGCCAAAAUGGAGUCUUGUGAGGANGAUUAUGAGAGUUCAGAGCAAUAUACAGAGUGCAUUUCAGCUUAAGUAAAAAAAGUAGAUAGAAGAAUGUGCACAGCUAAGCAUGAAGNGCUGAGAACUAAUAGAUAAGAUGAAUUUAGUAGCAGAAGAAGUUAACCUUGAAGUCUUGAAGUAGAGAAAGCUCUCUGUUCUAGCUCGACUUGUUAUCAGCUUAUUUGUAUCCAGUUAGUGAUUUUACGCUUUCUUUGUAUUUUUGAAUGCAAUUGGUCAAGAGUAUGAAUAUGUAUGCCUGAAUCAUGCCUAUUAUAAUUUGCUCAUUUUGUAUUANCCUAUAUAAGCUUUGUUUUGAUAAUUGAAAGGUGCGACUCCAUUGUCUUUGAUUAAUGGCAAGGUUGCCCUAGUGCACUAG